GAUGAACGCUGGCGGCGUGCCUAAUACAUGCAAGUCGAGCGAACAGACGAGGAGCUUGCUCCUCUGACGUUAGCGGCGGACGGGUGAGUAACACGUGGAUAACCUACCUAUAAGACUGGGAUAACUUCGGGAAACCGGAGCUAAUACCGGAUAAUAUAUUGAACCGCAUGGUUCAAUAGUGAAAGACGGUUUUGCUGUCACUUAUAGAUGGAUCCGCGCCGCAUUAGCUAGUUGGUAGGGUAACGGCUUACCAAGGCGACGAUGCGUAGCCGACCGGAGAGGGGGAUCGGCCACACUGGAGCUGAGACACGGUCCAGACUCCUACGGGAGGCAGCAGUAGGGAAUCUUCCGCAAUGGGCGAAAGCCUGACGGAGCAACGCCGCGUGAGUGAUGAAGGUCUUCGGAUCGUAAAACUCGGUUAUUAGGGAAGAACAAAUGUGUAAGUAACUAUGCACGUCUUGACGGUACCUAAUCAGAAAGCCACGGCUAACUACGUG
rnacentral:rRNA from 1 species